GCGUAAUUCAAGAGCCCUGACUCUUUCACCAUUUCAUGAUGGCUUAUUACUCGCACACGGCAUUGUCAGGUUCCAGCAACUCUGUGUGCAGCAGGCAGAAAUGCAGUGUUUAUCUCUGACAGGCAAACAUUCUUAGGCUCAUCGGCAUGAGUAUCCACGCUGAACUGGCUAUCGGGGAAGUAGAUCCCUGCAUGGGAAAGUCAAGGGCCAUCUGCCCAUCUGAAACUGUCUUUGGCUGC
rnacentral:lncRNA from 1 species